rnacentral:rRNA from 1 species
UGGGGAAUCUUGGACAAUGGGCGCAAGCCUGAUCCAGCCAUGCCGCGUGAGUGAAGAAGGCCUUCGGGUCGUAAAGCUCUUUUUACCAGGGACGAUAAUGACGGUACCUGGAGAAUAAGCCCCGGCAAACUUCGUGCCAGCAGCCGCGGUAAUACGAAGGGGGCUAGCGUUGUUCGGAAUUACUGGGCGUAAAGCGCACGUAGGCGGAUUGUUAAGUCAGAGGUGAAAUCCCGGAGCUCAACUUCGGAACUGCCUUUGAUACUGGCUGUCUCGAGGUCGAGAGAGGUUGGUGGAAUUCCUAGUGUAGAGGUGAAAUUCGUAGAUAUUAGGAAGAACACCAGUGGCGAAGGCGGCCAACUGGAUCGGUACUGACGCUGAGGUGCGAAAGCGUGGGGAGCAAACAGGAUUAGAUACCCCCGUAGUCCCUGAGCGGGCUGGCAAGGCGCAU